UGAGGAAUAUUGGCCAAUGGGCGGGAGCCUGAACCAGCCAAGUCGCGUGAGGGAAGACGGCCCUAUGGGUUGUAAACCUCUUUUGCCGGGGAGCAAAGCGCCGCACGUGUGCGGCUUGGAGAGUACCCGGAGAAAAAGCAUCGGCUAACUCCGUGCCAGCAGCCGCGGUAACACGGGGGAUGCGAGCGUUAUCCGGAUUCAUUGGGUUUAAAGGGAGCGUAGGCGGCCCGACAAGUCAGCGGUAAAAGACUGCAGCUAAACUGUAGCACGCCGUUGAAACUGCCGGGCUAGAGUGCAGACGAGGUUGGCGGAACAGGUGAAGUAGCGGUGAAAUGCAUAGAUAUCACCUGGAACCCCGACAGCGAAGGCAGCUGACCAGGCUGUAACUGACGCUGAUGCUCGAGAGCGUGGGUAGCGAACAGGAUUAGAUACCC
rnacentral:rRNA from 1 species